GGAUACAAAGAUGAGUCUUUUAUUCUGGCCUCUCAAGCUAGACAAGUGUUCUAUGUCAAUGAUCCGAAAAGUACGAAAUGGUCUAUAGUUCUUUUUUCCAACAAAGUAAUUGAUGAAAACACUGGAGAUCAAGGUGAUAUUGAUGUUGAGAUUGAAUCGUUUACCAGAAAUGAUCAAGAUGAGAAUAUUAUAUCAAAUGAUUCAUAUAUUAGAAAUGAUCAUAAUGAGGGUAUUUGGAUCAAUCCAACCGUCCGUGUUGUUAAGAGACAUGUAGAACAUAUUCCAACCAAGAAAAGAAAGAGAACUUAGUGAAAAAGGUAAAAUGGCUAUUAUGAAGUCAAUCAUUCGUGCAAGAGACAAGGGUGUAAAAUUUGAAGUACAUUGGAGUGCUGAAGACCAACUAAUUUUUUUUCAUCAGGCUUGUGUCUCAAUAGAGGAUGGGUAUCUACCUAAAGUUACUUUUGUAGUGGUCCAAAAGAGACAUCACACCCGUCUCUUUCCUGUCAACCCCAAAGAGACCGAUAGAAGUGGAAAUAUUAUGCCAGGAACCGUGGUAGACACCAGCAUUUGUCACCCUAGGGAAUUUGAUUUUUACCUUAACAGCCAUGCAGGAAUUCAGG